CCGUCUCUCCCUCUGUCUCCCCCUCCGUCUCCCCCUCCCUCCACAAAGCACAAAGCAAACCUCUCAUUGGAGCAAAGUUCCCAAGCGUGAUGCAACCCGGCUGAGCGGCUGAGAGGAGAGCCGACAGACAAGCGAGCUGCUCCGAUGCCAAAACCAGCUUGUGUUUCCACAUUACGAUGGAAGAGAUUUGAACGUGCUGCGUUUUGAAAAAUUAGGUUGUAAUACCAGAAUUUGCUGAUGAACUGCUGCUGUGAAGAAACAUCACAAAGAAGAGACGGAUGAGCCACAGUCAGAGAGCCUGGCAGCAUUUUAAAUUAAAAACAAACACAUUCAGCGGCUCGUUGAAACAUUGAAAGGUUUUUGGCAGAAACUGACCACAAGACACCAACACUGGAGAUUAAAGAUACUCAGACAGGAUUCCAGUAUCAUCAGUACUUAAGUACCUAAAGUAUCUGAAAAAUACAAGUGAAAAAAAAAAUGCUGACACAAACUUCCCUUUAUAUGUAAACACUGCAAAACUGUAAACAAAAUGUGGAAAACGGACGUGGGCGGGGUUAACCGGGAUUUCUGCGAUGAGGCUGACAUGAUGAAUCCUUCAGCACUCACAGCCUGAAAUCCUCUUUCAGAUGUUGUUCUUUGAUCACCAAUAAAAGGGAAAAAAUAAAUAAGUAAAAGAAAAUUCCUGACACCCAGAAGUAGAAAAACUUUAAGAACCUUGUGAGGUGACUCAGACUUUGACUGCUCCAACAGUUCACACAUAACAAUCUGCUGCUGGAAGUCGAUCCCCGAUAAGCAAUUUUCUUCUAACACAGUGAAUAUUUAUCUGACAUCAUUAAA